GCUUGCAUCAUGAUUUACAUUUGAGUGAGUGGCGAACUGGUGAGUAACACGUGGGAAACCUGCCCAGAAGCGGGGGAUAACACCUGGAAACAGAUGCUAAUACCGCAUAACAACUUGGACCGCAUGGUCCGAGCUUGAAAGAUGGCUUUGGCUAUCACUUUUGGAUGGUCCCGCGGCGUAUUAGCUAGAUGGUGGGGUAACGGCUCACCAUGGCAAUGAUACGUAGCCGACCUGAGAGGGUAAUCGGCCACAUUGGGACUGAGACACGGCCCAAACUCCUACGGGAGGCAGCAGUAGGGAAUCUUCCACAAUGGACGAAAGUCUGAUGGAGCAACGCCGCGUGAGUGAAGAAGGGUUUCGGCUCGUAAAACUCUGUUGUUAAAGAAGAACAUAUCUGAGAGUAACUGUUCAGGUAUUGACGGUAUUUAACCAGAAAGCCACGGCUAACUACGUGCCAGCAGCCGCGGUAAUACGUAGGUGGCAAGCGUUGUCCGGAUUUAUUGGGCGUAAAGCGAGCGCAGGCGGUUUUUUAAGUCUGAUGUGAAAGCCUUCGGCUCAACCGAAGAAGUGCAUCGGAAACUGGGAAACUUGAGUGCAGAAGAGGACAGUGGAACUCCAUGUGUAGCGGUGAAAUGCGUAGAUAUAUGGAAGAACACCAGUGGCGAAGGCGGCUGUCUGGUCUGUAACUGACGCUGAGGCUCGAAAGUAUGGGUAGCAAACAGGAUUAGAUACCCUGGUAGUCCAUACCGUAAACGAUGAAUGCUAAGUGUUGGAGGGUUUCCGCCCUUCAGUGCUGCAGCUAACGCAUUAAGCAUUCCGCCUGGGGAGUACGGCCGCAAGGCUGAAACUCAAAGGAAUUGACGGGGGCCCGCACAAGCGGUGGAGCAUGUGGUGUAAUUCGAAGCUACGCGAAGAACCUUACCAGGUCUUGACAUACUAUGCAAAUCUAAGAGAUUA
rnacentral:rRNA from 2 species